AUGAACGCUGGCGGCGUGCCUAAUACAUGCAAGUCGAGCGAACAGAUAAGGAGCUUGCUCCUUUGACGUUAGCGGCGGACGGGUGAGUAACACGUGGGUAACCUACCUAUAAGACUGGAAUAACUCCGGGAAACCGGGGCUAAUGCCGGAUAAUAUUUAGAACCGCAUGGUUCUAAAGUGAAAGAUGGUUUUGCUAUCACUUAUAGAUGGACCCGCGCCGUAUUAGCUAGUUGGUGGGGUAAUGGCUUACCAAGGCAACGACACGUAGCCGACCUGAGAGGGUGAUCGGCCACACUGGAACUGAGACACGGUCCAGACUCCUACGGGAGGCAGCAGUAGGGAAUCUUCCGCAAUGGGCGAAAGCCUGACGGAGCAACGCCGCGUGAGUGAUGAAGGUCUUCGGAUCGUAAAACUCUGUUAUUAGGGAAGAACAAAUGUGUAAGUAACUGUGCACGUCUUGACGGUACCUAAUCAGAAAGCCACGGCUAACUACGUGCCAGCAGCCG
rnacentral:rRNA from 1 species